UACGGAGGGUGCAAGCGUUAAUCGGAAUUACUGGGCGUAAAGAGCGCGUAGGCGGCGCGAUACGACCGACGUGAAAGCCCCCGGCUCAACUGGGGAGGGUCAUCGGUAACGGUCGUGCUAUGAGCGCAGGAGAGGGAAGUGGAACUCCGGGAGUAGCGGUGAAAUGCGUAGAGACCCGGAGGAACACCAGUGGCGAAGGCGGCUUCCUGGUCUGCGACUGACGCUGUGGCGCGAAAGCUAGGGGAGCAAACGGG
rnacentral:rRNA from 1 species